rnacentral:rRNA from 1 species
AUGGCAAUGGCAAUGGAAUUGGCCAACAAAUUGCUACUGGUGCUCCAGAGCUACUCGCUGCCAGUUUGGGCCAUGAUAAUCUCGGGGCUCUUCGUCGCCGUAUCACUCUCGCUGUCCAUCUACUUGCUCUUCAACCACCAUCGGCCUACAAGAACCCAGAGGAGCAGAAGUUCCUCGUCGGCGUCGUUCUGA